UUAUGGAGAGUUUGAUCCUGGCUCAGGAUGAACGCUGGCGGCGUGCCUAAUACAUGCAAGUCGAGCGAACAGACGAGGAGCUUGCUCCUCUGACGUUAGCGGCGGACGGGUGAGUAACACGUGGGUAACCUACUUAUAAGACUGGGAUAACUCCGGGAAACCGGGGCUAAUACCGGAUAACACAUGAAACCGCAUGGUUUCAUGAUGAAAGAUGGUUUUGCUGUCACUUAUAGAUGGACCCGCGGCGUAUUAGCUAGUUGGUAAGGUAACGGCUUACCAAGGCAACGAUACGUAGCCGACCUGAGAGGGUGAUCGGCCACACUGGAACUGAGACACGGUCCAGACUCCUACGGGAGGCAGCAGUAGGGAAUCUUCCGCAAUGGGCGAAAGCCUGACGGAGCAACGCCGCGUGAGUGAUGAAGGUCUUCGGAUCGUAAAACUCUGUUAUUAGGGAAGAACAAGGAUGUAAGUAACUGUGCAUCC
rnacentral:rRNA from 1 species